UAAUAUACACUCGGCUCCACUCGCAAGGGGCCACUGACUUCCCCUCCUUUAUCCCUGCGUGGCCCUGGCCUGAAGCCAACAAUAAAAAUGACUUGCAUAGAGCUCCAAGGGUGCAAAAGCACUUUGCACGUAGCUCGUACUAGCAGGUGCUAUUAUUAUGCCUAUUUUAAAGAUGAGAAGACUGAGGCGGCGCAGUGUUUCUGAGAUGCGUUCGAAUUCUUGACGGCGCCAUCUAGCGGCCUCGAUAGGUAGCACCGUUAAGUUAGCAUCCUUAAAGGCUCGGCGGAUUCAAGGCUUCCGUCGGUGGAAGCCGCCUCCCUUUCUUUCCUCUCGGUGCCCCUUCUGGGGACACUGCCUUGGGGCGGACAUUGUGCGGUCCGGAACCAAGGGCCGGAAGCGCAGGCCGAGGCAGGGACCGUUUGGGGGCCGCACUCGGGAGCGCCGGAAGUGGAUUCGGAGAACCCGGAUCGCCGCCGAGAGGACUCGGGAUGGAGACGGAAGCGGUUCAGGGUUCCCGAGCAGCAGCAGCAGCAGCAGCAGCAGCAGCCUCUGCGGCCCCCGAGCUCGGCCUGGGAGGGGGCGCCCUGCACUGGGGGGAGCCGAGCGGGGCGCAGCCCCCUCAGGCCCCCCAGAAGCAGGGCCCUGCCCAGGCCGAGGAGGAGGACGAGGAGGAGGUCCAGGAGGACCCCGGCGUCCGGGCCAUGCUGCGCGCCGUGGCCGGCAGCCGCAUCCCCGUGCGCAGCCAGCAGAAGGACGAGCCCGACUUCACCGAGAGGGAGAAGGUGGCCAUCCUGCGCCGCCUCUACCGCGACAAGCCCCUGGUCUUCCUGGAGCGCUUCCGCAGCAGCCUCCGCGAGGAGCACCUGGCCUGCUUCCAGCACCUGCGCGGGGACUACCGGGCCGACUUCUACUGCGCCGAGGUGCUGCGGGGGGCCGCCGCCCGGGGCAGGGCCUCCCGCACCCGCCUGCGUAACCGGCGCUACGCAGCCCUGCAGGAGCUCAUCCGCGGUGGGGAGUACUUCAGCGAUGAGCAGAUGCGGGCCCGGGACCCCCUGCUGUAUGAGCAGUACAUUGGACAGUACCUGAGCGAAGAGGAGCUGGCCGCCCGCUCCCCAAAGCCCCUGGCCCCGGAUGGCUGCCCUCUGGCAGACCUGCUCCUCCAGUCCUACCAGGAGGGGGUGCUCCAGCGAAGGCUGCUGCAGCAACAGGAGGAGGAGGAUGCCUGCCUGGAGGAGGACGAAGAUGAAGAGGAGGAGGAUGAAGAAGAGGAAGAAAAUUGCGGGCCUGGGCAGGAGGAAGAAGCCUGGGUCCCCGAUUCAGAGGAGAAGGUCAUCCUCAGGGAGGAAUUCACCAGCAGGAUGCACCAGCGCUUCCUGGACGGCAAAGACGGAGACUUUGAUUACAGUAAGGUGGACGACAACCCGGAGUUUGACAACUUGGACAUUGUGACUCGGGACGAGGAGGAGCGCUACUUCGAUGAAGAGGAGCCGGGGGAGGCGGAGCCAGAUGAGGAGGACUAGCUAGAACCCGGACCCAAACUGGUCCCCCGGGCGGUGGCCGCCGGACCCCAGCAGGGGGCGCCCCCUGCCAGGCGCAGACAUCCCCCACCCGGAACAUGACUGAUGAGGAAGCGCAGCCUCCGGUGCUUUGUGGGGGGGGCCCAGGGCAGCGCCCCCUCCCCGGGAUCCCUCCGCCUCUCGGUGCGCGACCUCCGACCUCUGCUAACGCCCCGUCCCCAUCCUGCCUCUCCCCGAGGCUCCUCCCCCUUCCGGGCCCCGAGCGGCUCGGGAUUCGGCCGCCCCCGGGCCCCGUCUUGGUCAAGGUCGCUCAGAACAGGACUGGCCUGAGGACCGGCGCUUGCUCGGAGAGGCCGCCCCGGCUCCCCUCGCGUCCCCAACCACAGCCGCAACUUUCCCUUCCUUCACUUCCUCCUGCCCUGUUUACACUCUCCAAAUACUUGCAGCCUGUUAUCAUGGGCCCUGAGUCAUCCUUUGCCUUUCCCCUCCCCUCCCCCGGAGGGCCUUCCCACCCCUUCAGCCCAGCCCCGGGGCCCGUCUGGGUGGGGGGCGCAGAUGGCAAGCUGGCGGUGCCUAACGGGAGCCAGAUGACCCUGGUGACUCAGCCGGCUGUGUGGGAACCCAGGCGUCCUGCCUUCCCAGGCCCCCGGCUCCCCUCCCCCAAAGGAAAAGACGGCUCCGAUUCUCCCUCCGGCCUCCCCCAAACCCUUGGCUUGGUCGGCCCCGGCGCUCCCGAGAUAGCCGAAGCCAUGGGAAAGAGACCACCUAGGUGCCUUGCCCCCGCUUUCUCCCCUUCCAGUGGGGCUUUCCUACUGAGUCACGGGGGGAAGUGGGGUGAGUAAGGACUGGGGAGACGGGCCCCACCCCUCCCCUUCUGCCUGCCGGGGCCCAGGGGACCAAGGGAUGAGGGCCCACGCUCGGGAGGCCCUGCUCCAGUGGAAGCCCAGGGUCCAGGUCCCGAGAGCCAAAGGGGGACACUGAGGCUCAGAGAGCCCAAGCCAGGCUCAGACUAGUGGCAGAGAAAGCCGGGGCACAGGCGCGGGGACUGAGGGGGGAGGGCCCCGGCUCGGUGUGAACCCCGGGGAUGGGCAGCUGGACCUCCCUGCAUUUCCCCUGGGGAAAUGGGCCGGCUCCGGACCGUUGGGCUUCUGCGAUCCCCUCGUACCCGGUGGCUCCAACCUCCCACCCCGACCCCGGGGCCGGGCCCGGUGAUUCCCGGCAGAGGAUGACUGAUGUCCCACGGGGGGCCGGGGGUCGGGGGUCGGUCAGUCUGUCUGUGUCUCCCCGUGGGGGUUACGGGAGUGAGUCUGCGUCUGCGUCUGCGUCUGCGUGCUGGGCCGGGCCCUGUCUCGCCCACGGCCCUGGAGUCAGAGAAAAUAUUUGUGUUCCGGGCUGCCCCCUGCCGCCCCCUCAGGGACCCAGGCAUCCCAGCCGCGGGGCUCUGCCUCUCCCCUCCCAAGCCGGGAGAAAGGAGCCGGGGAGAGGCAGCGGCGGCGCCCGGCCCCCCUGCCCAGGAUCCCCUCCCCAGGGUAUGCGCCGUGUAAACACAGCAGGCCCGGGGAUAUUUAUACAGUGGGCUGGGCUUGGUGCCAACGCCCACCGCAGCCCCUGCCCGCGGGCGCCCGCCUGCCACCGUGGCAGCAGAGAGGCCCCAGGGAAGGGGGAAGGAGGGGUGGGCACACAAACGCACACCCCAAGCCACAGACAACACAAAACACACCAGCUGGAGGGAAAACACCCAGGCUCCAAGACACAAACACGCCCACUCAGAUGUGAAUGUGCACAGACUCGGCCGGGCCGCCCUGACCCCCCUCGAGCCUCUCACACGCGCUGGCCCGGGGAAGGAGCCGGGCCGGGAGGGGGCAGGGACAAGCCCUUGUUUAAGACCGGGAGCAGAGACAGGAAGGGUCCCUACCGCCCUCAGUUUCCUGCCCCUGUGGGGGCCGGACAGGAAGCCUCGCCGGAACCCAGCCGUACCCCCCUUCACUUCCCUCCGGCCCCAGCCUCAGGGGAGGGACUCGGGCCUUUGGGGGAGCAGCCACCUCUCCAGCACCUCCUCCUCUCCCCCUCCCCCACCCGCAGCCGCCAGCAGCUUCGGGCAUGGGGCAGACGUGCCCCGACUUAGCCUGACCACCCAGCCGGGGGCCCCUGGCAGGCACGAGCCGGGCGUAGGGCAGGGCCCCGGGUGCGAGAUGGGGAGGGAGGAGGGGCUCUGGAGAUGCCAGGGUGGCACACAGAGGGGUGGGGCUUCCCCCCACCCACCACCUCUCCCGAAAGGGGAAGGUGCUUAGCUGCAGUUUCUCGGCCAGGCUGGGCAGGGCGGGCACCCCCGAGGCCCAGCCCCCUCCUCUUGCCAGCUCACUGGGCAUCCCUGGCCCGAGAACUCGAGCCCGGGGGCAGAGGGAGGGGCUCAGAGGAGGAAAGAGGCAUCGGCCCGGGCUGUGUGCGCACACAUGCACACUCCGAGGAGCCUCCAUGUUGCCGCGGUGACCCCGGUUCGGCGGCCCUUCCGCGGUGGGGAAACGGCUGCCCCUGUGGCACAGCUGCGGCUGCUUCUCGCAGGGGGCUCUUCGCGGCUCUUGGGUCUGCCAGUGCCCCUGCCUGACCAGUGAUGCCCCCGAGGCCCGAGGAAACCCCAGCCCCCGACGCUGCUACCCACCGGCCCCUCAGAAGUAGCUGCGGGAAGGAGGAGGAGCCUGGGCCUGGGCCUCGGCCUCAAUGGGGGAUCCCUCAGCCCCAGACUGGGGAGCAAGGAGCAGGGUUAACCCGUGGGGGGGUCGGGCACUGAGAUGGGCACCACAGACCGGGGAAAGAUGCCAGAGAAUGCCAGAGGCCGAGGAGGCCGAGAUGUGUCGGGAGAGGCUCUUUAGGGAUGGAAGGAGCCCAGGAUAAGGAAGGCAGACAAUGGGCGGCCCCCCCUCA
ensembl:lncRNA